UACGUAGGGAGCAAGCGUUGUCCGGAAUCACUGGGCGUAAAGGGCGCGUAGGCGGCCGAUCAAGUCGGGGGUGAAAGCCUGUGGCUCAACCACAGAAUUGCCUUCGAUACUGUUUGGCUUGAGACCGGAAGAGGUUAGUGGAACUGCGAGUGUAGAGGUGAAAUUCGUAGAUAUUCGCAAGAACACCAGUGGCGAAGGCGGCUGACUGGUCCGGUUCUGACGCUGAGGCGCGAAAGCGUGGGGAGCAAACAGG
rnacentral:rRNA from 1 species